GACGAACGCUGGCGGCGUGCCUAAUACAUGCAAGUAGAACGCUGAAGGAGGAGCUUGCUUCUCUGGAUGAGUUGCGAACGGGUGAGUAACGCGUAGGUAACCUGCCUGGUAGCGGGGGAUAACUAUUGGAAACGAUAGCUAAUACCGCAUAAUAGCAGUUGUUGCAUGACAACUGUUUGAAAGGUGCAAUUGCACCACUACCAGAUGGACCUGCGUUGUAUUAGCUAGUUGGUGGGGUAACGGCUCACCAAGGCGACGAUACAUAGCCGACCUGAGAGGGUAAUCGGCCACACUGGGACUGAGACACGGCCCAGACUCCUACGGGAGGCAGCAGUAGGGAAUCUUCGGCAAUGGACGGAAGUCUGACCGAGCAACGCCGCGUGAGUGAAGAAGGUUUUCGGAUCGUAAAGCUCUGUUGUAAGAGAAGAACGAGUGUGAGAGUGGAAGGUUCACACUGUGACGGUAUCUUACCAGAAAGGGACGGCUAACUACGUG
rnacentral:rRNA from 1 species